CUCCGCUUGGUUUUACUUUCACUGGUUGGGGGGAACGUGGGUCCCCAAAGCCCAGAGUCAGAGCCCUACGAGAAC
rnacentral:pre_miRNA from 1 species